rnacentral:rRNA from 1 species
CAUUGCAGUCGAGCGAACAGACGAGGAGCUUGCUCCUCUGACGUUAGCGGCGGACGGGUGAGUAACACGUGGAUAACCUACCUAUAAGACUGGGAUAACUUCGGGAAACCGGAGCUAAUACCGGAUAAUAUAUUGAACCGCAUGGUUCAAUAGUGAAAGACGGUUUUGCUGUCACUUAUAGAUGGAUCCGCGCCGCAUUAGCUAGUUGGUAAGGUAACGGCUUACCAAGGCAACGAUGCGUAGCCGACCUGAGAGGGUGAUCGGCCACACUGGAACUGAGACACGGUCCAGACUCCUACGGGAGGCAGCAGUAGGGAAUCUUCCGCAAUGGGCGAAAGCCUGACGGAGCAACGCCGCGUGAGUGAUGAAGGUCUUCGGAUCGUAAAACUCUGUUAUUAGGGAAGAACAAAUGUGUAAGUAACUAUGCACGUCUUGACGGUACCUAAUCAGAAAGCCACGGCUAACUACGUGCCAGCAGCCGCGGUAAUACGUAGGUGGCAAGCGUUAUCCGGAAUUAUUGGGCGUAAAGCGCGCGUAGGCGGUUUUUUAAGUCUGAUGUGAAAGCCCACGGCUCAACCGUGGAGGGUCAUUGGAAACUGGAAAACUUGAGUGCAGAAGAGGAAAGUGGAAUUCCAUGUGUAGCGGUGAAAUGCGCAGAGAUAUGGAGGAACACCAUGGCAAGGCGACUUUCCUGGUCUGUAACUGACCUGAUGUGCGAAAGGGGCAA